ACCACACCUGGUAACCGCUCCAAC
rnacentral:siRNA from 1 species